UACGAAGGGGGCUAGCGUUGCUCGGAAUCACUGGGCGUAAAGGGUGCGUAGGCGGGUCUUUAAGUCAGGGGUGAAAUCCCGAGGCUCAACCUCGGAACUGCCUUUGAUACUGGAGAUCUUGAGUCCGGGAGAGGUGAGUGGAACUGCGAGUGUAGAGGUGAAAUUCGUAGAUAUUCGCAAGAACACCAGUGGCGAAGGCGGCUCACUGGCCCGGUACUGACGCUGAGAUACGAAAGCGUGGGGAGCAAACAGG
rnacentral:rRNA from 1 species